rnacentral:lncRNA from 1 species
AGCAAGUCUUGGUAUUGGAGAUAUUAUUCCACCUCCUUACAGCCUUUCUCUGCUUCGUGGAGAAAUCUGUACAGGAGGAAUGGGAUAAUGGAUACCUGCCUCUACAAUCAAGCUUUUAGGUCAGUUCUAGGAAUUGAACUACAAACAACAGUAACAACAGACACCACUCGUGAGGAAACAAACCAGAAUAAGGACAGACAGACAGAAAUAUGGAAGGAAAGAAAAACAUUGACAGAACACAAGAAACACACACAUACAAACAAAAUCCACAAAAACACGGAAUCAGAAGAUAUAAUAUGCAAGAAAAAGACAACUAAGAUAAAAGGUGCCCUAACAAAGCAAUAUGGAACGAACAAACAAACAAACAACAAA